GGGAGGGAGAGAGGGUGGAGGAGAGGUAGGGGGAGGGAGAGAGGCUUCUAGGAAUGCCCUCUUUAUUUUAUUACUUAUUGUUAAUGCCAUCUUUGGUGUGCUUUCAUGUACUUGUCAAUGCAGAAGCAACUUUUUCCUCACUCCUAUCGAGAAAAUAAUUGUAUUAAGUCAUACCAAUGUUUACAGUACGUAAAGUUGAAAAUGCAUUCUGUUAUUACUAAAUAAUGUGAUACAGUAGGUAUUUUAAAAUUGUACUAUUUUUUUUAACAUUUGAAUUUAAAAAAUGUAAUAUUUAAUCAGCUUUCUUGAAGGGGAUUAUAACGCAAGAGGGAGGGAAUCUGAUUUCAUUGGUCAUCAACUCAAGGCUCAGUCAUUUCAUUCAGGGUAAGUGUAGUUAGCCAUGAGUUAGCCUGCCUCGAAACAGGUUAGUUCUGAAGAACUCGUUGCCAUAGACAUUUACCUGGCUUAAAGGUGUAUGACCGGUUAUCCUGAGUUGAACUCAGAGUUGACCAAAGUUACCUCGCUAACUUCUCAAACCAGCUUUGUAGGAUACCCCUCAGUUGUCCUUACAGGAUAGUAAAACAAGGAACAUUCUGACAAGUGGGGACAUUUCGACAGACUCCACAAGGAAAAGGCUUUUUUUGGGCUUAGGGGUUAGAUUUACAAUCAGGGUUAGAAUUUGAGUUAGGGGUUAUGUUUAGGGUUAUUAUUUUGAAUGGGGAUCAGUUGUUUGGUCUCCACAAGGAUAUUAAAACGUGUGUGUGUGGUAAGAAGACAUCUACAGUAGGUUCUUUGUAACAACGAUUUAAUUGUGGCUAAAAUUACAGAUAUACCCAAAAAACACACCGACACACCCAUACAGACCCCCACCCAGCCAUACAGACCCUGACCCACACAGACCCCACCCAGCCAUACAGACCCCACCCAGCCAUACAGACCCCCACAGUCAAGUACAACAAUGCAUGCUUACAUUCAGAACUCUGCUCAUAGAAGGACAUAAAAAUCAUACAUCCUAAAAAUACACAAUUGCUUAGAAUUCUUUUUCAUUUAAUAAAAAGUAUUUUUUUUUAAAUAAACUAAACCCAACCGAUUGUCGAAGUAAAAGUGCAAAAGAAUAGAAUAAAACAAAUAUAUUGAAUGCAGACAUUGUUUUGACAAUUUGUUGAAGACAGCUGAGUGUCUGGUGUAGGGGGGAACCUGAAAGGGCUUAUAAGGGGUUAUAAGUCAUAUUCUUCAAGAAUCAAUGGCUAAUCACUAAUUUAAAAGUAAAAAAAUAAAUAAUUUGAUGUACCUUAGAUCUGUGGCUAAGGACAACCUCUACCAUGGCAGAACUGUACAGUACAUUACUGUAUUCUGAUCCUAGAUCUUUGCCUAAGGACCUCUACCAUGGCAGAACUGUACAGUACAUUACUGUAUUCUAAUCCUAGAUCUGUGCCUAAGGACCUCUACCAAUUUAUUCAUGAUAUUAUAAUAUUAUCUAUUGUAACGGCCUUCACCCAACACCUAGCGACCUCGUCAGGAGGUUGUGUUCUCUUGGCGUAACAACUAAGGUGUUGGGUUCACAGUCGCUGGACCCGGGUUCUGUUGUUCAGAAGUAAACAAACCUUCCUGUGUCCAGGAAAACGCCCGUAGGGUAUCACAUUUUCUUUAACCUUUCAAACAAAUUUCCAGGUUUUCCCCAAAAUCCCGAUUGGAGAAUUCCAGAUUUCCUGCUUAUUUCCUCCUGAUUCCGGGAAUCUUUCAACUGGGAUUUCUGAAAAAACCUGUUGAUGAACGCUGCAUAGAGGUCAGAGGUCAGAGGCAUCAUGCCCAUGGGGGACACAGGGGCAUAACCAGUUUGUUAACUAUCUUAGCUGGUCUGCCUGCUGGCAAGGUUGGUAGACUUUGGGAAAGCAAGCAAUAACUAAAUGUACUGAAUGUAGAGAAGCAUUUUAGUUUCUUUAAACAAUAAUCACCAGUCAGGAGGGUACAGACAGCUCAAGAGGUAAAGAUAUGCAGAAAAUAUAUAUCUAUUUUACAUAGAAUUAAGCAUAAUGGUUAUGGCUCUAGAUUGCAGGAAAAAGCUUUUUCAGGUGUUUGAAAAAUUCAAAAUGAUUCAACUAGCCCCCUUCUGGACCACCCAUCAGCCGUCCUCUCAUACUCUGUGUCCAUUCAGAUUGUUGGGGUGCAUGAAGGCCCUGAUAGAGGUUGCUAUGGUAACACUUCAUAAUAACUAUCACGAAUAAGCAUUUUAACAAACCAUUUAUGGACUAUUCAAAUAUAUAUAUAUUUGUAAGCCUUUAUAAACAUUUUAUAAGAAUGUGUAAGCCUUACAAGCCUUCCAUUGCAUUAACAUUCAAACAACAUUUGAAAUAAUUGUUAUAAGUAUUAAUAAAUAUGUAUAAUAAUUUAAAAAGGCCUAUUCUUGAGAGUUAAUAUGAAGUAUUAGUGACUGCAGAAAUUAUACACAUUUACAGUAUAACAGUCCAUUAGGUCACAACUAACACAUUUCUUCACAUAUCUUAGGUUUUUCUAAAUCCUUCUGGAUUUAUUUGUGUAGAAAAGUCGUCCUAUCUUGUGCUCUUGGUAAUAAAUAUUACUAUAAAUCUACCACAUUCAUGUAAAGGAAGAAAGCUUAUGUUUAUGAUUGUGGUUUCAUCUGUCUAUUUGACGACAUGGUGUAAAAAAAAUUGGGGUGGCAGCGUAGCCUAGUGGUUAGAGCGUUGGACAAAUAACCGCAAGGUUCAAGUCCCUGAGCUGACAAGGUACAAAUCUGGCUUUCUGCCCCUGAACAAGGCAGUUAACCCACUGUUCCUAGGCCCUCAUUGAAAAUAAGAAUUUGUUUUUAACUAACUUGCCUAGUUAAAUAAAGGUAAAAUAGUACUCUUCAUUUGUGGCUGUAAAAAUGACAUAAAGAGGAUAUCACUUCUGAUUGGAUGACAUUAAGAUCAUAUGGAUUCCUAUUGGAAGAUCGUAUGGAUUCCUAUUGGAUGACAGGAAGAUCAUAUGGUCCUUCUUUCUUUUCUGUCUGUAAGAUGCUCUGCAUAUGAACAUCUGCUUAAUGACUGAAAUGUAAAUGUUAUGUCGGUGAAAAUGAAACUACUGUGACAUCAUUGCAUCAUUGUCACUUCCUACUCCCUCUUAUCCUAUUGGAUGACAUAAAGAGGAUAUGGAUUCCUAUUGGAUGACAACGAUUAUAUGGAUUCCUAUUGGAUGGCAUGAAGAUCAUAUAACUUCUGAUUGGAUGACAUAAAGACCAUAUGGAUUCCUAUUGGAUGACAUGAAGAUCAUAUAAAUUCUGAUUGGAUGACAUAAAGAUCAUAUGGAUUCCUAUUGGGUGACAUGUAGAUCAUAUAACUUCUGAUUGGAUAACCUAAUGCUUGAUAAGACAGUGGUUAACAUCAAGGAUAAUAUGAAGUGUCUAAUCAGGGGUGGAAUUUAAGGAUUCCGGGACACUGACCAGCCAGGCUAGUAAGGUACAUUUUCUGCUGACCAGCCGGGCUAGUAAGGUACAUUUUCUGCUGACCAGCCGGGCUAGUAAGGUACAUUUUCUGCUGACCAGCCGGGCUAGUACACGCUUAGAAAAAGGGGCUCUCCACAUAGAAGCACCUUUUUGGUUCCAGGUAGAACCCUCUGUGGAAAGGUAUCUAGAUGGAAUCCAAAAAGGUUCUACCUGGAACAAAAAAAGGUUUCUACCUGGAACAAAAAAAGGUUUCUACCUGGAACAAAAAAAGGUUUCUACCUGGAACAAAAAAAGGGUUAUUCAAAGGGUUCUCCUACAGGGACAGCCGAAGAACCAUUUUAGGUUCUAGAUAGGGCACAUGUUUACUAACCCGCCGGGCUAGUAGGGCACAUUUUCUACUGACCAGGCCUGAAAAGGGAGGGGGAGUAAAGAGGUGCAUUGUAGGAGUUUGGUGAUGUCAUCAUAUCUGCAACUCUCCUGUGUUUUGGGCACCCCUUGACCCCUAGGACACACAAUGGAACAAGGACAGA
rnacentral:lncRNA from 1 species